GACGAACGCUGGUGGCGUGCCUAAUACAUGCAAGUCGAGCGGACCAAUAGAAGCUUGCUUCUGUUGGUUAGCGGCGGACGGGUGAGUAACACGUGGGCAACCUGCCUGUAAGACUGGGAUAACUUCGGGAAACCGGAGCUAAUACCGGAUAAUUCAUCCCCUCGCAUGAGGGGAUGCUGAAAGUCGGUUUACGCUGACACUUACAGAUGGGCCCGCGGCGCAUUAGCUAGUUGGUGAGGUAAUGGCUCACCAAGGCGACGAUGCGUAGCCGACCUGAGAGGGUGAUCGGCCAAACUGGGACGGAGACCCGGCCCAGACUCCUACGGGAGGCAGCAGUAGGGAAUCUUCCACAAUGGACGAAAGUCUGAUGGAGCAACGCCGCGUGAGCGAUGAAGGCCUUCGGGUCGUAAAGCUCUGUUGUUAGGGAAGAACAAGUAUCGGAGUAACUGCCGGUACCUUGACGGUACCUAACCAGAAAGCCACGGCUAACUACGUGCCAGCAGCCGCCGUAA
rnacentral:rRNA from 1 species